UGGCCUUUGCUGUCACGCUUUAUGAAUACCUGGCAGCAAUGAUCAAAGAAAUCUUAUACAUGGCAGAAUCAUGUGUUCGGACGUGUUACUACGUGCGUCGAAUAGUUAAUUUGCAUCUACAACCAAAGUGUAAAACUUUUCAAGGAAGUCACACAAUGCUGCUUAGAAGCAAAUAUAUUCGCGAAGAAUUUGGUCUUUAAGUGGGUUUUCAGCUAUCUACAAGUAGUGAUAGUGGGUUGUGAAACUGGGCAAAUCUGAGAAGCGAAUACGAGUCGAUUUCGAAAUUGUGCACGCGGUUCUAAUUAUUCAGGUAGGUAGGCAAUUUCAGUAAAUAUAGUUCUAGUGAAUAUGUUUCGUCAAGAAGACUAUACCUGGCAGAAACUCCAGAGUGCAAGACCUCUACACAGCAGUGUCUAUUCGAUAUCCCAACUUAUUUUACCAUCAUUUCAAAGCCGACGGGGGAAUCAGUAGAUUGUAUAUGUGGGCAGUGGCAGUAGUAAGGUGUUCACCUGAACUCAACAAUGAAAGGCAACAGCAGAGAAAAACGUAAACUGAACCAAGACAACUUGUGCCGACUAACCGUAAUAACGUAACAUGAAUCUGAAGACGCAGCGGACGCACACGACACCAACAUUAUGGCUGGCAGCGCUUUUCCUUCGGUAAAUGAUUCUGAGGCGAUCGAUUGUAUCAGAUUCAGGAAACAAGAAAGCUCCGCAAAGCAAAACGCAAAGUUUUCAGGAACGCAAGAAUACCCCACGCUACUUUUUCAGGGGCAGCGCGCAAGACCUUGAAGUACUCCGGUGGACAGAUAAAUAUGUGGAAACUCCGACAAGCUCCGGAAUAAAACGUUGUGGGUAAUAAUGUGACCAACAUAGAAAAGAAGCGAAGGACGAGGCAGACGGUGAAGCCGCCAGUGGUAAAAAGAAGCGCAUGUUGGCUUUACAAUAUAAAUAACAUUCAACGGAAGUGUUUGCGGUAUCGGAAGCGCUCGAAAGCCCAAAGACGUUCCGGCCAGGAUUCUUUCGAUUAGAUAAGCUGCCGGUGCUUACAAUGUUUAGCUUCGGAUGAAUGAACUGUUUGCGCUCUUCACGCUGGACGAGGCUUCAGGCUGGGCAGCGAGGGCUUUCAUUAGAGUUUGUUUAGAUGAUGCACGCAUGCCUUUGUCGUGUUAGCAGCGACAUAACCAAAGGACGCUUUCAUUUCUGCGAUAGAGGACGUCAUUAGUAGAAGCUAAUGGAAAUUCUCCCGUUCUAGUUCACGAGAUCAAGCAGCAAUAUCGAUCCUUCUUGCUUCCUGCUCCCGUACAGGCACCAGAUGACACGUAUAGGUUAGGGGACGCGAAGGUAUGCUGCUGGUGCUACGCGGCUCUAGAUGAAAAGAAAGGGCUAGUCAAAUAAAGAUGGUGAAGACCGACAAGGGGUACGAAUGAAGUCUGAUGAAUGCCCGAUGUGGAAGAGCAGCCUGGCUCCGGUGGCUUUGCAGGGACUUUGCGCUGGCAAACGACAAAUGUAGACAAAGCAAGCGCGGCGGUCUAAUCGAGGAAGGCAAAUCUGAGAUGAAGCUGCUGAUGCUGCUUUGUAGGAAAUAGACAACAGCGUGAAUGCCGUUAGAGUAGAGUAAGUGGAAGGUCCGAUGAAAGGCCCAAUGAAAUGGCGAAGUGGUGAUGGUCAGGCCAGUGUUGGUGUGGAUAAGCAGACUGGUUUUCUAUUCCUGCUAGCGUGCAGCGUUGUCUCCGUCACUCUCAGAAUUGUUGGAUCGUGCUGCUGCUGGCGUAAAAGGCAUGAACACUGCUAGAUCACAACUACUACCACCACCGUCUAAUCUACGAUCAUCAUAUCACGUCGAUACGUAUCGGCACGCCAUCUACCAAUGUCAAAGCUAACCCUGCUAUAACCCUGCGCUUGUUAAACACGAUAAGCGACCUCUAGAGGCCGGCUAGAGUAUAGGUUAGGGUCUGUGAGAACCUUUUACGCUAAACGGUUCUGGUCACAUACUGUGGUCGGAGGCUAUUUGCAGGACCCUUUACAUUACUACGGUCUACUCUUGUUCGCAGCAAACGAAUUCCAGAGUUCAGCCAGAAGAAGAAGAAGGGCUUAGACGGACCUCCUAGAUGUUAUGAGCAUUCUGCGGUGAUAGA